rnacentral:rRNA from 1 species
CCUACGGGAGGCAGCAGUGGGGAAUAUUGGGCAAUGGGCGCAAGCCUGACCCAGCAAAGCCGCGUGAAGGAAGAAGGCUCUCGGGUUGUUAACUUCUUUUGACAGGGAAGAGUAGUAGACGGUACCUGUCGAAUAAGCCACGGGUAACUACGUGCCAGCAGCUGCGGGAAUACGGAGGUGGGAAGUGUUGUCCGGAUUUACUGGGUGUAAAGGGCGUGUUGCCGGGUUGGCAAGUCAGAUGGUAAAUCCUGCGGCUUAAACGCAGAACUGCAUUUGAAACUGUUUGUCUUGAGUACUGGAGAGGCAGGCGGAAUGCCUAGUGUAGCGGUGAAAUGCGUAGAUAUGAGGAGGAACACCGGUGGCGAAGGCAGUCUGCUGGA